rnacentral:rRNA from 1 species
AUGGAUGGGUCUCAAGUUUCUCAGAUCUGUGAGAUGCUCGAUGCCAUAUGGGCAGAGCUCCCGGGGCAGGAAGUGGUAUAUCAGUGGGUUGAGUGGAUCGGCAAUUCGUCUUUGUCACACCUCUGGAUUGAUGCCAAAAUAAUAUUAGGUCCAGACAGUCCAACACCCAAAUCAGACAAUCGUGCUAUCUCAAGAAGUCUCCCACUGGAUUAUGUAAUCCCUUCGAUGCUCGGUUACAGUAGUUAUAAGCGUCGUAAAGCUUUUCUUGAAGAUCUUCAUAUGUGCAUGAUAUGCCUUAAUGAGAGCAAUGGUAACUGAUUUGUGUCACUGCCAUGCCAGCACUUGUUCUGUGUCAAGUGCAUGGAGACCUUAUGCAGGUUGCAUGUGAAGGAAGGUACUAUGUUCCGAUUGGUGUGCCCCGACACCAAGUGCAACGCUUCUAUUCCACCAUAUCUGCUAAAGAAUAUUCAUAGCGAAGAAGAAUUUGAACGUUGGGAUAGGCUUGUUCUUGAGAAAGCAUUGGGUUCAAUGUCAGACGUGGCUUACUGUCCAAGGUGUUCGAUUGCUUGCUUGGCAGACGAGGACAAAAACGCACAAUGUCCAAAAUGUUCCUUUAGCUUCUGUUCACUUUGCAAGGAUCCACGCCAUCCAGGGAAACAAUGUUUAACUCUAGAACAAAAGCUCCAGCGCCGUCAGGCAUCAGGUAAGUUAGCUGUGAGGGAGAUGGUGCAGGAAAUGUUGAUGAUAAAGACGUUGUACAAUGAUGCUAGGGCAUGUCCACAUUGUCGGAUGACCAUUAGCAAAACUGAAGGGUGCAACUUAAUGUAUUGCGUGAACUGUGGCACGUCAUUUUGCUACCGUUGUGGCAAGGCCAUGGGUGAAGGCUUUUCUGAUCAUUUCAGGAAAUGUGGGUUGUAUGCGCCUAGAGAAGAAUCGGAUACAAAGGAUUUGCAGAAGCAACUGGAGAAGUUAGAAACCGGGAAUCAUAGGGUUCAGAGGCAACCGGUAGGUAGUACCGUAAAAUGCCCGAAAUGCCGCCAGAAAAUUUUCGAGGUACAAGAAGCUAUGUUAUCAUUGAAUCUGCAACAUGGCAUGAAUGUAGUAGCAUGA